rnacentral:rRNA from 1 species
UGGGGAAUAUUGGGCAAUGGGCGAAAGCCUGACCCAGCAACGCCGCGUGAAGGAUGAAGUCUCUCGGGAUGUAAACUUCGUAAGAAUAGGAAGAAUAAAUGACGGUACUAUUUGUAAGGUCCGGCUAACUACGUGCCAGCAGCCGCGGUAAUACGUAGGGACCAAGCGUUGUUCGGAAUCACUGGGCGUAAAGCGCACGUAGGCGGGUAGUUAAGUCAGGGGUGAAAUCCUGGGGCUCAACCCCAGAACUGCCUUUGAUACUGGCUGUCUCGAGGUCGAGAGAGGUUGGUGGAAUUCCUAGUGUAGAGGUGAAAUUCGUAGAUAUUAGGAAGAACACCAGUGGCGAAGGCGGCCAACUGGCUCGAUACUGACGCUGAGGUGCGAAAGCGUGGGGAGCAAACAGGAUUAGAUACCCCUGUAGUCCCUGAGCGGGCUGGCAAGGCGCAU